rnacentral:pre_miRNA from 1 species
AGCGCCAUUUCCAGAGCUAUCAACAGUGUCAUUGUCAUAGCUCUUGGAAUGGUUCUGC